CCUACGGGUGGCAGCAGUGGGGAAUAUUGGGCAAUGGGCGCAAGCCUGACCCAGCAACGCCGCGUGAAGGAAGAAGGCUUUCGGGUUGUAAACUUCUUUUGUUAGGGACGAUGCAAGUGAUGGUACCUGACGAAUAAGCCACGGCUAACUACGUGCCAGCCGCCGCGGUAAUACGUAGGGUGCAAGCGUUAUCCGGAUUUAUUGGGUGUAAAGGGCGUGUAGGCGGGGAUGCAAGUCAGAUGUGAAAACUCUGGGCUCAACCCAUAGCCUGUAUUUGAAACUGUAUUUCUGGAGUGCUGGAGAGGCAAGCGGAAGUCCGUGUGUAGCGGUGAAAUGCGUAGAGAUACAGAGGAACACCAGUGGCGAAGGCGGAUUGCUGGACAGUAACUGACGCUGAGGCGCGAAAGCGUGGGGAGCAAACAGGAUUAGAUACCCCUGUAGUC
rnacentral:rRNA from 1 species